UGCAGAGAACUUUCCAGAGAUGGAUUGGUGCCUUCGGGAACUCUGACACAGGUGCUGCAUGGCUGUCGUCAGCUCGUGCGUGAGAUGUUGGGUUAAGUCCGUAACGAGCGCAACCCUUGUCCUUAGUUACCAGCACGUUAUGGUGGGCACUCUAAGGAGACUGCCGGUGACAAACCGGAGGAAGGUGGGGAUGACGUCAAGUCAUCAUGGCCCUUACGGCCUGGGCUACACACGUGCUACAAUGGUCGGUACAAAGGGUUGCCAAGCCGCGAGGUGGAGCUAAUCCCAUAAAACCGAUCGUAGUCCGGAUCGCAGUCUGCAACUCGACUGCGUGAAGUCGGAAUCGCUAGUAAUCGUGAAUCAGAAUGUCACGGUGAAUACGUUCCCGGGCCUA
rnacentral:rRNA from 1 species